GCCAGCGGCCCGGCCAGCACGGCGGCCAGCAUGGUCAUCGGGCCAACUAUGCAAGGGGCGCUGCCCAGCCCGGCCGCCGUCCCGCCGCCCGCCCCCGGGACCCCCACCGGGCUGCCCAAAGGCGCGACCGGCGCAGUGACCCAGAGCCUGCCCCGGACGCCCACGGCCACCACCAGCGGGAUUCGGGCCACCCUGACGCCCACCGUGCUGGCCCCCCGCUUGCCGCAGCCGCCUCAGAACCCGACCAACAUCCAGAACUUCCAGCUGCCCCCAGGAAUGGUCCUCGUCCGAAGUGAGAAUGGGCAGUUGUUAAUGAUUCCUCAGCAGGCCUUGGCCCAGAUGCAGGCGCAGGCCCAUGCCCAGCCUCAGACCACCAUGGCGCCUCGCCCUGCCACCCCCACAAGUGCCCCUCCCGUCCAGAUCUCCACCGUACAGGUGAGUGCACGUGUGCCCUGGAGUGCGAAC
rnacentral:lncRNA from 1 species